rnacentral:rRNA from 1 species
AUUGAACGCUGGCGGCAGGCCUAACACAUGCAAGUCGAACGAGUGGCGGACGGGUGAGUAAUGUCUGGGAAACUGCCUGAUGGAGGGGGAUAACUACUGGAAACGGUAGCUAAUACCGCAUACCAUCAGAUGUGCCCAGAUGGGAUUAGCUUGUUGGUGGGGUAACGGCUCACCAAGGCGACGAUCCCUAGCUGGUCUGAGAGGAUGACAGGCCACACUGGACAUGUGCCACGGUCCAGAGUCCUACGGGAGGAAGCAGUGGGGAAUAUUGCACAAGGGGCGCAAGCCUGAUGAAGCCAUGCCGCGUGUAUGAAGGAGGCCUUCGGGUUGUAAAGUACUUUCAGCGGGGAGGCGUUACCCGCAGAAGAAGCACCGGCUAACUCCGUGCCAGCCGCCGCGGUAAUUC